rnacentral:lncRNA from 1 species
GAAAAGAGUAUCGUGUAAAAAGUGUGAAGAUCCGUAAGUAUGCUUGUUUGUUUCUAUAAAUGUAAAAAAAAUUGUUAGACCUGGUAUGCAUCUUGUAGGUGUAUGAAUUGAAAACCCUAGGAAAACCCGAUGUUUUCCUAAUACUUUGAAUUACGCGUUUUAUAUUUUGUUAUACCGUUGUGACGUGUGUAUUCGAUAAUUCCAGGUGACAUUGGAUUAAUUAUGGGUUGUGAUUUGUUAUAAACACGCAUUAAUGAAAACGACUAGUUUACAACUAUACGAACGGUCCCUUNUAUAUUUUGUUAUACCGUUGUGACGUGUGUAUUCGAUAAUUCCAGGUGACAUUGGAUUAAUUAUGGGUUGUGAUUUGUUAUAAACACGCAUUAAUGAAAACGACUAGUUUACAACUAUACAAACGGUCCCUUAGGCGUCGUCUGUACUAUUCACUUAAUCCAACCACCCUAACUUCUCAUAGCCCCAUAACCGAGGAGAAAAGAGGGUGCGAAGCCCCCGCUAUUUCCAUAAGUCGUUCAAGGCUAUCGUGAAUGCGAAAGGCCCUUGGCCCGAAUCGCAUUGGUGAAUUCUCGACUUUGCUAGCAGUACCAAAAGACCCUUGGGGUCCAACAGCACAAAAGCCAGUGAAAGUCCUUUUACAUGGAUUUAGGUCAUAUAAGACCCAACAACAUGUAAGCGAGUUUCCUUCGGGCCUAAAGAUCAUGUCAUUGGGCUAGCUAGGCCCAACAAACACGAUUUGAAACUUUCGGGCCCAAAGAUGGUGUAUCGACAUCUGGUGAAUUCCCACGUGUGUAUUGACCUCCCGUAAUUUCAGCGUGUGUAUUGUAGUAUCGUCGUGUAUAGAUUUUUGAUUCAUUAUUGAUUCGAGACCGAAUCGAUUCAUUUGGUAAUGAUUUUUGGUGUUGAAGGUGUAUUAUGUUUCGUCAGUAGUCGUGGUACUAGUAUUUCAUCAUGACGGAUUUACUGUUUAAAACCUUAGAAUUUUA